GGUCGCUUAGCUCAGUUGGCAGAGCGUUGCGUUUACAUCGCAAAGGCCGUAGGUUCGAGACCUACAGCGACCACCC
rnacentral:tRNA from 1 species